UAAUUUUCGAGGUUUGGAGUCUACUGAGUUGAGGUAUCUUCAGUGGCAUGGAUGUCCAUUAAAAUCAUUGUCUUCGAAAAUUCAUCCAGAGAAUCUUGUUUCGCUUGAAAUGCCUCAUAGCAGCAUUAAACAACUAUGGAAGGGUGUCCAGGUAUACCUUAGCAUUCACAUUGCAAUUAGUCUUUUUGUGAAAUAGUUAUUGAUUUCCUAUAUGCUAAUACUUUUGCUUUGAAAUAAAUUUUUUCAGCGUCUUGUCAACUUAAAACAUUUAAAUCUCAGUCACUCAGAGCAUCUAACCAAAAUCCCAGACCUUUCAUUGGCCACAAAUCUUGAGAGCCUGAAUUUCCGAGGCUGCACAAGUUUGCUCGAGACUCACUCUUCUAUUCAAUAUCUGAAUAAGCUUAUUGUCCUAAAUCUAGAACAUUGCAGAAGUUUAACGAGUCUUUCCACAAGUAUUCAUUUGGAAUCUCUUAAAAAGCUUAUUCUUUCUGGCUGCUCAAAUCUCAUGAGUUUUCCAGAGCUAUCUUGUAAUAUAGAGGAGUUAUCUUUAGAUGGAACUGCAAUCCAAGAACUUCCCUCAUCCAUUGAGCGCCUAUCCAGUUUAAUCUUAUUGAAUCUUGGAAAUUGCUUGAGGCUUGAAGGGCUCCCAAGAAAAAUAUGUAAGUUGAAAUCUCUCGAACGCCUUAAUCUCGCAGGUUGCUCGAAUCUGCAAAGGUUACCUAACGAACUUGGAAAUUUAGAAGCCUUGAAGGAGCUGAAAGCCGAAGGAAUUGCUAUAAGAGAAGUACCUUCAUCGAUUGUUUGUUUGAAAAUUCUGGGUAGAUUAUCCUUCGAGAGCUUCAAGGGUCAUGAGCAGAUGGGGCUCUUGUUGCCUAUUUCAUUUGGCUUGACCAGUCAAACAUAUCUAAAACUAGCUGAUUGCGGCAUCACAGAGUUACCUGAAUGUCUUGGCCAGUUGUUAUCACUAAGAAUUUUAUUUCUAGACAAAAACAAUUUUGAGAGAAUACCAGAAAGCAUCAUUUACCUGUUUCACUUGUAUUGGCUGAGGAUAAGCUAUUGUGAGAGGCUUAAAUCUUUACCAGAGCUUCCAUGUGAUCUAUGUGACAUUGAAGCCCAUGGUUGCUCAUCACUGGAAGCGUUAUCAGGUCUAUCAAUUCUCUUCACACAAACAUCUUGGAAUUCACAGUGUUUUAAUUUUGUUAAUUGUUUGAGAUUGGAUGAGAAUGAGCUCAAAGAAAUUAUCAAAGAUGCUCAACGGAAAAUGC
rnacentral:lncRNA from 1 species